CGCCCACUCUUGUUUACCGACUCGCCCCACUUUUAAAAAAGUGUAAAAUCAAACUGAACAAUUCCGAAUUGAUUUUCCUCUGAGUUCAGUAUUUUUGUGAUUUUACUUUUCACUGACAACUCACUUAUUAACGAAAGGGGUUUAAACCCCACUGAAUAAAGGUCUGCCAACUCGCCCCACUUAUAAAAAACAUCUUGCUUCCUUUAAGUAUGUUAAAUUACUGAUAGUCCAUAUCCAGUCGUCCUGGUGUAGUGGUUGUGGCUUGAUAUGGCUAAAGGUCUUGAGUUCGAAUCCCAGCAUAUACACUGGAUGUUUUCUACGUUAAUUUUGAUAGAUAGUCUUUUCCGUAUAAUUGUAUAUUUAAUUAUAAGUUUUAUAGUGGAUUUGACAUUCCCGCCAAAAUGUUACAGAACAAAGGAAAGCAUGCAUAACAAAGAAACUCAAACUAGGGUGAUCUGGUACGGGUGAUCCGGCUCAGAUCACCCCUGUUAGAAC
rnacentral:lncRNA from 1 species